GACGAACGCUGGCGGCGUGCUUAACACAUGCAAGUCGAGCGAGGCCCGCCCUUCGGGGCGGUGUCCUAGCGGCGAACGGGUGAGUAACACGUGGGCAACCUGCCCCCGGCUCUGGGAUAACUCCAAGAAAUUGGGGCUAAUACCGGAUAUGACCGCUGACCGCAUGGUCUGGUGGUGGAAAGACUUAUCGGCUGGGGAUGGGCCCGCGGCCUAUCAGCUUGUUGGUGGGGUAGUGGCCUACCAAGGCGACGACGGGUAGCCGGCCUGAGAGGGUGACCGGCCACACUGGGACUGAGACACGGCCCAGACUCCUACGGGAGGCAGCAGUGGGGAAUAUUGCGCAAUGGGCGAAAGCCUGACGCAGCGACGCCGCGUGGGGGAUGACGGCCUUCGGGUUGUAAACCUCUUUCAGCAGGGACGAAGCGCAAGUGACGGUACCUGCAGAAGAAGCACCGGCCAACUACGUGCCAGCAGCCGCCGUAACAC
rnacentral:rRNA from 1 species